GUCCACGCUGUAAACGAUGUCUGCUAGCCGUUGGGAUCCUUGAGGUCUCGGUGGCGCAGCUAACGCGAUAAGCAGACCGCCUGGGGAGUACGGCCGCAAGGUUAAAACUCAAAUGAAUUGACGGGGCCGCACAAGCGGUGGAGCAUGUGGUUUAAUUCGAUGCAACGCGAAGAACCUUACCACCCCUUGACAUCCAGAGAACUGCCCAGAGAUGGGCGGGUGCCUUCGGGAGCUCUGAGACAGGUGCUGCAUGGCUGUCGU
rnacentral:rRNA from 1 species